rnacentral:rRNA from 1 species
UACGAAGGGGGCUAGCGUUGCUCGGAAUCACUGGGCGUAAAGGGUGCGUAGGCGGGUCUUUAAGUCAGGGGGGAAAUCCUGGAGCUCAACUCCAGAACUGCCUUUGAUACUGAAGAUCUUGAGUUCGGGAGAGGUGAGUGGAACUGCGAGUGUAGAGGUGAAAUUCGUAGAUAUUCGCAAGAACACCAGUGGCGAAGGCGGCUCGCUGGGACGUUACUGACGCUGAGACGCGAAAGCGUGGGGAGCAAACAGG